AUGUUAGAGGGUUGCGCCAGGCUGGAGUACGUCGACCUCAGCUCGAACAACUUCGACGGCGAGCUCUUGCCCGACGUCGCAAGAUUCAGGAAAUUCAGCAUCGCUGAGAACAACAUCACCGGGAGCGUUCCAUGGAGCAUGUUUCCUAAUGGAUGCAAGCUCCAGUCCUUAGACCUCUCUGCCAACCAGCUGGUGGGGAGCUUCCCGGAUUCCAUUGCGAAAUGCACGAAUUUGACGUACUUGUCGCUGUGGGGGAAUAAUUUCGCUGGAAUGGUACCUGCCGGAAUUGGGAAGCUCGCGUCGCGUCCCUUGAGGCGUUGGUUCUUGGGAAGAACAGGUUCGACAGGCAGAUACCGCAUGAGCUAA
rnacentral:rRNA from 1 species